rnacentral:hammerhead_ribozyme from 1 species
AUUCAGUUGACGAAUCCCAAAUAAGACGAAACGCACCUCCUGGAU